UCGAGAAUUUUUCUCAAUGGGCGAAAGCCUGAAGGAGCGACGCCGCGUGGGGGAUGAAUGGCUUCGGCCCGUAAACCCCUGUCAUUUGCGAACAAACCUUAUUAUUGAAUAGAUAGUGAGCUGAUUGUAGCGAAAGAGGAAGGGACGGCUAACUCUGUGCCAGCAGCCGCGGUAAUACAGAGGUCCCAAGCGUUGUUCGGAUUCACUGGGCGUAAAGGGUGCGUAGGUGGCGGGGUAAGUCUGAUGUGAAAGCUUCGAGCUUAACUCGAAAAUGGCAUUGGAUACUAUCUCGCUGGAGGUUUGGAGGGGGGACUGGAAUUCUCGGUGUAGCAGUGAAAUGCGUAGAUAUCGAGAGGAACACCGGUGGCGAAGGCGAGUCCCUGGACAACACCUGACACUGAGGCACGAAAGCUAGGGGAGCAAACAGG
rnacentral:rRNA from 1 species